rnacentral:rRNA from 1 species
CGCUGGCGGCGUGCUUAACACAUGCAAGUCGAGCGGUAAGGCCCGUUCGGGGUACACGAGCGGCGAACGGGUGAGUAACACGUGGGUGAUCUGCCCCGCACUCUGGGAUAAGCCUGGGAAACUGGGUCUAAUACCGGAUAUGACCACCGGUCGCAUGGUUGGUGGUGGAAAGAUUUAUCGGUGCGAGAUGGGCCCGCGGCCUAUCAGCUUGUUGGUGGGUAAUGGCCUACCAAGGCGACGAUGCGUAGCCGACCUGAGAGGGUGAUCGGCCACAUUGGAACUGAGACACGGUCCAGACUCCUACGGGAGGCAGCAGGUGGGGAAUAUUGCACAAUGGGCGAAAGCCUGAUGCAGCAACGCCGCGUGGGUGAUGAAGGUUUUCGGAUCGUAAAGCCCUGUCUUUGGGACGAUAAUGACGGUACCAAAGGAGGAAGCCACGGCUAACUACGUG